GGUAACCGCCGCCUGGGGGCGGGGCCACGCGUCUCCUCGGACGGGUUCGAGUCCCGCGCGCCGCCUCGGGCCUGUGGCCCCGCCUGGAGGCGUGGUGUCCUCCUGGUUCAUUUACAGCAAGUGUGCGUGGCAGGAGCAAGCGGACACUGCCGGCCCCGAUGGACGUGGACACUCGAGCUAUAACCCGCGGUUUAUCGUUUCACCAGGAGCCCCAGCAGCAUACACGCAAGCCUUACCCCGUCCCCUCCUGCAGCUAAUGGACCUCAUUCAUCUCUGCCCAUUUCUGUUGGUUUGGGUUUUUUUUAAUGCACGAAUAUCACUUGUCGUUGUCGUCCGGAUAAUAGGCUAGAGCAAUUACGGGAUCUCGUUAACGAUCCGGAGGUACCAGUCCAAGCCUUGUUCUGGGCCUGCGCUGAGAGCGGGGCCCAGUCCGGCCGCCCGCCAAGGCAAGUGGGUCACUGGGGCUCGGAGGUGGCUGGACGCGAUGGCAGCACAGCGUUCCCUCGUGUCCUGUCCGCUGCUUAGCCCGGUUGCUAGCCUGACGGCUCAAGCGGACCUUCAGCCAUUUGCUGCCUGUCUGUGCUGAUGUGUUAGCAACCCUCCUUUCACUGCUAAUCCCUUUGGACGUCUACUGUCACAACAGCCAUGCGCUGUACGUGACAGACCGAGGGUAUGGCAAGCGUAGCAGUGCCCUGCAGUGGGGAACUGGGCUCACUGCACCUGCCAGUGACCGCGGCGCUGCUCUGUUAAGUGGCCGUGCCCAGUGCUAAGCGCUGCGCUGGUGACAGCCCGAAGCCGCUCCCCAGAAGCCGACCACGUUACUCUGGCUACAUACCACUGUCACGUCAGAUCAGAGUCCGCCUCACUGCUCCUAUUGGAAACGACCCUUCCUGCUGUUGUGAGCGGUGCUAUGCUGCAAUGUUCACAGGUUCUCCUCCAGACACCGUUACAGUUCCCAGCGUGAACACAACCCUUUCUAUGCCUGCCACAGCCUGCAGUCAUCCAGGGAUCGCCAGGCACCGUCUCUUCCCAGAUGGGUUGCCGCUCCGGUGUGAGCUGCUUCUAGGCCUGGAGCACAGGAUCAGGCCCGCACGCUGGAAACCCGUUCAUCAGUCCACUGCACCCCAGCCAGAGAGUCCAGGAGGCAGCUUUAGCUCGAGAAAAAGGAAAUUGGGGGAUAAAACCUGCCUCUCUCCAUAGUAUGGAUGCCCCCAACACACACACACAGACUCCGUCUCUUCUCCCUCUGCAGCACUGAUUGCAAUGGGAGCAGGGCAGGGAGUCACCCA